AACGAACGCUGGCGGCAGGCUUAACACAUGCAAGUCGAACGCCCCGCCAGGGGAGUGGCAGACGGGUGCGUAACGCGUGGGAACAUACCCUUUUCUACGGAAUAGCUCUGGGAAACUGGAAUUAAUACCGUAUACGCCCUACGGGGGAAAGAUUUAUCGGGGAAGGAUUGGCCCGCGUUGGAUUAGCUAGUUGGUGGGGUAAAGGCCUACCAAGGCGACGAUCCAUAGCUGGUCUGAGAGGAUGAUCAGCCACAUUGGGACUGAGACACGGCCCAAACUCCUACGGGAGGCAGCAGUGGGGAAUAUUGGACAAUGGGCGCAAGCCUGAUCCAGCCAUGCCGCGUGAGUGAUGAAGGCCUUAGGGUUGUAAAGCUCUUUCACCGAUGAAGAUAAUGACGGUAGUCGGAGAAGAAGCCCCGGCUAACUUCGUG
rnacentral:rRNA from 1 species